rnacentral:rRNA from 1 species
AUGGAGUUCGAGAACGCCAAUGGCUUGUGCGUCGCCCAGCCGGCGCGGGCUGACCCGCUGAACUGGGGGAAGGCGGCGGAGGAGCUGUCCGGGAGCCAUCUAGACGCGGUGAAGCGGAUGGUCGAGGAGUACCGUAGGCCGGUGGUGACCAUGGAGGGCGCCAGCCUGACCAUCGCCAUGGUCGCCGCGGUGGCCGCCGGCAGCGACACCAGGGUGGAGCUCGACGAGUCCGCCCGCGACCGCGUCAAAGAGAGCAGCGACUGGGUCAUGAACAGCAUGGCGAAUGGCACUGACAGCUACGGCGUUACCACUGGCUUCGGUGCUACUUCUCACCGGAGGACAAAGGAGGGCGGUGCUCUCCAGCGGGAGCUCAUCAGAUUCCUCAAUGCCGGAGUCUUCGGCACCGGUGGCCACGACCAUGUUCUGCCUGCCGCGGCCACAAGGGCGGCGAUGCUCGUCCGUGUCAACACUUUGCUCCAGGGGUACUCCGGCAUCCGCUUUGAGAUCCUCGAGACGGUCGCUGCCCUUCUCAACGCCAACGUAACACCAUGCCUACCGCUCCGGGGCACGAUCACCGCCUCCGGCGACCUCGUCCCGCUUUCCUAUAUCGCGGGCCUGGUGACCGGUCGGGCAAACUCCGUGGCCACAGCUCCGGACGGCAGCAAGGUUAACGCGGCGGAGGCGUUCAAGAUCGCCGGCAUCCAGCAUGGCUUCUUUGAGCUGCAGCCCAAGGAAGGGCUUGCCAUGGUGAACGGCACGGCAGUGGGGUCCGGGCUUGCGUCCAUGGUGCUUUUCGAGGCUAACAUCCUCAGCCUCCUUGCCGAGGUUCUAUCGGCUGUGUUCUGCGAGGUCAUGAACGGCAAGCCGGAGUACACCGACCACUUGACCCACAAACUGAAGCACCACCCCGGGCAGAUCGAGGCCGCCGCCAUCAUGGAGCAUAUCCUUGAAGGAAGCUCCUACAUGGCACUCGCAAAGAAGCUCGGUGAGCUUGACCCGUUGAUGAAGCCAAAGCAAGAUAGGUAUGCACUCCGAACAUCGCCGCAAUGGCUUGGCCCCCAGGUAGAGGUGAUACGCGCUGCCACCAAGUCAAUCGAGCGGGAGAUCAACUCCGUGAACGACAACCCACUGAUCGACGUCUCCCGCGGCAAGGCCAUCCACGGCGGGAACUUCCAGGGCACACCUAUCGGCGUGUCCAUGGACAACACAAGGCUCGCCAUUGCUGCGAUCGGCAAGCUCAUGUUUGCGCAGUUCUCAGAGCUGGUGAACGACUUCUACAACAACGGUCUGCCUUCCAACCUCUCCGGCGGGCGCAACCCGAGUUUGGACUAUGGGUUCAAGGGUGCUGAGAUUGCCAUGGCCUCAUACUGCUCCGAGCUCCAGUUCUUAGGCAACCCGGUGACCAACCAUGUCCAGAGCGCCGAGCAACACAACCAAGAUGUCAACUCUCUUGGUCUUAUCUCCUCCAGGAAGACCGCCGAGGCCAUUGACAUACUCAAGCUCAUGUCCUCUACUUUCAUGGUCGCCUUGUGCCAGGCCAUCGACCUCCGUCACCUCGAGGAGAAUAUCAAGGAUGCCGUCAAGAGCUGUGUGAAGAUGGCAGCCAGGAAGACACUCAGCACCAACAACAAUGGACAUCUCCACAACGCACGCUUCUGCGAGAAGGACUUGCUGCUCACGAUCGACCGUGAGGCGGUGUUCGCGUAUGCAGAUGACCCUUGCAGCUCCAACUACCCACUGAUGCAAAAGAUGCGUGCAGUUCUCGUCGAGCACGCUUUGGCCAACGGUGAGGCCGAGCGCGAUGUGGAGACGUCGGUGUUUGCCAAGCUUGCCACGUUCGAGCAGGAGCUCCGUGCAGUUCUACCAAGGGAGGUCGAGGCUGCACGGACCUCAGUGGAGAACGGCACCGCCGCGCAGCAGAACCGUAUCACCGAAUGCCGGUCGUACCCACUCUACCGGUUUGUGCGCAAGGAGCUUGGGACUGAGUACUUGACUGGAGAGAUGACGCGGUCUCCUGGGGAAGAGGUGGACAAGGUGUUCGUCGCCAUGAACCAGGGCAAGCACAUCGACGCGCUGCUCGAGUGCCUCAAAGAGUGGAACGGUGAGCCCUUGCCUAUCUGCUGA